rnacentral:rRNA from 1 species
CGGUACGUAGUUUGACUCCGUCGGCUACAGGACAACGCUGGCGGCGUGCUUAACACAUGCAAGUCGAGCGAGCUAAUCCCUUCGGGGUGAAGCUAGCGGCGGACGGGUGAGUAACGCGUAGGCAACCUGCCCUUUGCAGAGGGAUAGCCAUUGGAAACGAUGAUUAAAACCUCAUAAUGCCAGACUGAGACAUCUCUAACUGGCCAAAGAUUUAUCGGCAAAGGAUGGGCCUGCGUCUGAUUAGCUAGUUGGUGAGGUAACGGCCCACCAAGUCUGCGAUCAGUAGCCGGACUGAGAGGUUGAUCGGCCACAUUGGGACUGAGACACGGCCCAAACUCCUACGGGAGGCAGCAGUGGGGAAUAUUGCACAAUGGGCGAAAGCCUGAUGCAGCGACGCCGUGUGAGCGAAGAAGUAUUUCGGUAUGUAAAGCUCUAUCAGCAGGGAAGAAAAUGACGGUACCUGACUAAGAAGCACCGGCUAAAUACGUG